GGUUCCUUCCAUUAUCAAUCUCUUGGCAAUCAUUAUUUGAUGCCUGGAAGACAAAAAAAGAUAUCUUUACUAAAAAAAUAAGGAAAUUAAAGUAACACAUAAAUUAUGACAGAGGUGUAUUGACAGGCGCGCAGAUUUGACCACCUGGUUGGUCCAAUUACAAGCCUUGAGCUUCAAAUGGAAAGUAGAUUGUUGGUUUCUUUUCUAACUGUUAGAGAGCAGAGACAAGGAAGCAAAGAACACUAAGAAUAGCAUUAACUUCCAUAUAUUAAUUUAGCAUAAGUUCACUCCAACUGAGAAGAUUAUGACAACAUAUCAAAAAGACCUCAGACAAACAAUGUCAAUCUUGCCUGCAGUCUAGUGCAUGUAUGAUAUAAGGUAAAAACUAGCACAAUCUUGAAACUG
rnacentral:misc_RNA from 1 species